rnacentral:rRNA from 1 species
AUACGUAGGGGGCGAGCGUUGUCCGGAAUGAUUGGGCGUAAAGGGCGCGUAGGCGGCCCGGUAAGUCUGAAGUGAAAGUCCUGUUUUUAAGGUGGGAAUUGCUUUGGAUACUGUCGGGCUUGAGUGCAGGAGAGGUAAGUGGAAUUCCCAGUGUAGCGGUGAAAUGCGUAGAGAUUGGGAGGAACACCAGUGGCGAAGGCGACUUACUGGACUGUAACUGACGCUGAGGCGCGAAAGUGUGGGGAGCAAACAGGAUUAGAUACCCUGGUAGUCCACACUGUAAACGAUGAAUGCUAGGUGUAGGGGGUAUCGACCCCUUCUGUGCCGCAGUCAACACAAUAAGCAUUCCGCCUGGGGAGUACGGCCGCAAGGUUGAAACUCAAAGGAAUUGACGGGG